UACAGAGGUCCCAAGCGUUGUUCGGAUUCAUUGGGCGUAAAGGGUGCGUAGGUGGCGCCGUAAGUGGGGUGUGAAAUUUCGGAGCUUAACUCCGAAACUGCAUUCCAUACUGCGGUGCUUGAGGACUGGAGAGGAGACUGGAAUUCAUGGUGUAGCAGUGAAAUGCGUAGAGAUCAUGAGGAAGACCAGUGGCGAAGGCGGGUCUCUGGACAGCUCCUGACACUGAGGCACGAAGGCCAGGGGAGCAAACGGG
rnacentral:rRNA from 1 species